rnacentral:rRNA from 2 species
UGGGGGAUAUUGCACAAUGGGCGAAAGCCUGAUGCAGCGACGCCGCGUGGGGGAUGAAGGCUUUCGGGUUGUAAACCUCUUUCGCUAUCGAACAAGGCCCGCUUAGGGUGGGUUGAGGGUAGGUGGAGAAGAAGCGCCGGCUAACUACGUGCCAGCAGCCGCGGUAAUACGUAGGGCGCGAGCGUUGUCCGGAAUUAUUGGGCGUAAAGGGCUUGUAGGCGGCUUGUUGCGCCUGCUGUGAAAACGCGGGGCUUAACUUCGCGCGUGCAGUGGGUACGGGCAGGCUUGAGUGUGGUAGGGGUGACUGGAAUUCCAGGUGUAGCGGUGGAAUGCGCAGAUAUCUGGAGGAACACCGAUGGCGAAUGCAGGUCACUGGGCCAUUACUGACGCUGAGGAGCGAAAGCAUGGGUAGCGAACAGG